rnacentral:rRNA from 1 species
GAUUAUGGCUCAGGAUGAACGCUAGCGGCAGGCUUAACACAUGCAAGUCGAGGGGCAUCGGGAGUAGCAAUACUUGCCGGCGACCGGCGCAAGGGUGCGUAACGCGUGAGCAACAUGCCCGUAUCAGGGGGAUAAUCCAUGGAAACGUGGUCUAAUACCCCAUAGUAAUUAUGUAAGGCAUCUUAUAUAAUUUAAAGCUUUGGUGGAUACGGAUUGGCUCGCGUGACAUUAGCUGGAUGGUAAGGUAACGGCUUACCAUGGCUACGAUGUCUAGGGGUUCUGAGAGGAAGGUCCCCCACACUGGAACUGAGACACGGUCCAGACUCCUACGGGAGGCAGCAGUGAGGAAUAUUGGACAAUGGAUGGAAAUCUGAUCCAGCCAUGCCGCGUGCAGGAAGACGGCCCUAUGGGUUGUAAACUGCUUUUGUAUGGGAGCAAUAAGGGCUACGUGUAGUCCGAUGAGAGUACCAUACGAAUAAGCACCGGCUAACUCCGUGCCAGCCGCCGC